rnacentral:rRNA from 1 species
AUUGAACGCUGGCGGCAGGCUUAACACAUGCAAGUCGAGCGGAGCGAGGGUGCUUGCACCUUAGCUUAGCGGCGGACGGGUGAGUAAUGCUUAGGAAUCUGCCUAUUAGUGGGGGACAACAUUCCGAAAGGGAUGCUAAUACCGCAUACGCCCUACGGGGGAAAGCAGGGGAUCUUCGGACCUUGCGCUAAUAGAUGAGCCUAAGUCGGAGUAGCUAGUUGGUGGGGUAAAGGCCUACCAAGGUGACGAUCUGUAGCGGGUCUGAGAGGGUGAUCCGCCACACUUGGUAUGAGACACGGCCCAGACUCCUACUGGAGGCAGAAGUGGGGAAUAUUGGACAAUGGGCGGAAGCCUGAUCCAGCCAUGCCGCGUGUGUGAAGAAGGCCUUUUGGUUGUAAAGCACUUUAAGCGAGGAGGAGGCUACUAGUAUUAAUACUACUGGAUAGUGGACGUUACUCGCAGAAUAAGCACCGGCUAACUCUGUGCCAGCAGCCGCGGUAA